rnacentral:rRNA from 1 species
AAUCAACGCUGGCGGCGUGCCUCAGACAUGCAAGUCGAACGCGAAAGUCCCCUUCGGGGGGCAAGUAGAGUGGCGCACGGGUGAGUAACACGUAGGUAAUCUACCUUUGGAUGGGGAAUAACAACCGGAAACGGUUGCUAAUACCGCAUAAUGCAGCGGCACCUAAUGGUGACAGUUGUUAAAGCGGGGGAUCGAAAGACCUCGCGUCUGAAGAGGAGCCUGCGGCGGAUUAGCUAGNGGUAAGGUAAUGGCUUACCAAGGCUACGAUCCGUAACCGGCCUGAGAGGGCGGUCGGUCACACUGACACUGACAUACGGGUCAGACUCCUACGGGAGGCAGCAGUCGGGAAUUUUGGGCAAUGGGCGAAAGCCUGACCCAGCAACGCCGCGUGAAGGAUGAAAUCCCUCGGGAUGUAAACUUCGCAAGAACAGGAAGAA